CUGGUGACCUCUCCUCCCCCGCCGAUGUCAGUUCCCGAGUAGAGCAGAAUGCGCACAUUCAAACAGUCCAUAGGAAAGCAUUUCGUAAUGCUUUCCUAUGGACGUUCUGCACCCUGGAUGCGAAUUUCGCAUCCAGCGUCUCAGAAGCGCCUCUAGCGGCUGUCAGUAAGACAGCCACUAGAGGUUGGAUUAACCCUGCAAAACCUGGA